ensembl:miRNA
ACUGUCAGGGAGCUCAAUGCACUUCUGCUAUAUUUGCAUUGAUUUACUGACAAAG